UGCGCAGGCGGUUGUGCAAGACCGAUGUGAGAUCCCCGGGCUUAACCUGGGAAUUGCAUUGGUGACUGCACGGCUAGAGUGUGUCAGAGGGGGGUAGAAUUCCACGUGUAGCAGUGAAAUGCGUAGAGAUGUGGAGGAAUACCGAUGGCGAAGGCAGCCCCCUGGGAUAACACUGACGCUCAUGCACGAAAGCGUGGGGAGCAAACA
rnacentral:rRNA from 1 species